GCUUGUAAUCACCUCGCCUUCGGCGACUAAUUGUUAAAUAGAUUGCAGUCCUCUGUCCUCUCCUCCUUUUUUGUAAUGUUCAUUCUCGAUUAUUUUUAGAGAUUCUAUCACUAACAUUAGAGGAGCCGAAAAAACAAAGACAAAAGCGUUGUCAAUGAUUUAGGAUGACCAAAUUCAGUUUGUCACCUCCAAUUUGGAGUUAAAACUAAAUAGUAAUUACAAUAAUUGUGAUAUAUUAACACAUUCAGGAGCAAAGCUAAACACAAGUAUACACAAGAGUAAAAGUUGAUUUUUAAAAGUUAAGUAGUAUUUUAAUUUUUAUAGCAGAAGGAACGAAUCCUGUUAAAUAUACUAAUUAUUAUUUACGGCUAUAUGAUUCACGUUAAAGACUACUCUAAUAUCAUGUAUUUACAUCGUAGUUAAAAUGAAGAUUGAAUUUAUCAAUAGCGAAUACAAGUGCA